rnacentral:SRP_RNA from 1 species
GUCUGGUUGGAGAAGCAUGCCUAUAACACCUGAUACUAGGGAAGGCUGAGACUGAUGGUUUGCUUAAGCUCAGGAGUUCUGAGCUGAACAGUAGGGCUAAAUUAGUUGUAUAUCCACAAUGAAUCUAGCAUCAAAAUGGUGACUCCCCAGGAAUGGGCAGCCACCAGGCUUCCUAUGGAGGAAUAAACUGGCCUAAGUUAGAAAUAGAGCAGAUCAAAGUGUCUGUGCUGAUCAGAAGUGAGGCCCAUGAUUAAUUGCUGUAUUUCUAGCCUGAGUGACAUAAGGAGACUCAAUCUCAC